AAUUUUGGAACAUUGGUAGAUUGGGAUAUAGAAAAGUGUGCGUGUUAUUGGCAAAUGUAGAACAUAGGAAGAUAAGGUUAUAGUGCAUUGUGCAGGCACACCACCAUGUACUCUUGAUGUAGAGUACUCCUACCCUUUGGAUUAUGCCCAGCAAGUGCACUAUCCCAAUUCCCUAUUCUCAAUAUGUUGGUUCAAUAUGUAUUAGGACACCAAGAAAGUUCCAUGAGAUUUGUGUUUGUGCAGAGGGAUCAGGACUUAAUGGAAGUGUCAGUCUCAACAUGCUCUGGAAAGGGGAGAAACAAUGCAACAGGUUGCCAGUAUUGUCCUGCAGACAUCAAGACAUGGUCACAAUAUCCCACUGCUUAUAGAUGAUCUAAAAAGCCAUUGAAAGUCAUUUUAAUAGUAAAUCCCCUGAGGCCUGCUGCUAUAAGGACUAAUGCUAUAUUGACUAGUGUGUGGAUCAUAUUAAUUAAUGGUUGCCUAUGUCAGCUUACCAGUAACUUACUUCCAUAAUGUUAAAACAUUUCAUGUGAUUGUGUUUUG